GGCGCGUUCGUCUAGUGGUCUAGGUCGCUGGCCUCUCACGCCGGUAACAGGGGUUCGACUCCCCUACGCGCUA
rnacentral:tRNA from 1 species